rnacentral:rRNA from 1 species
AACGAACGCUGGCGGCAAGCCUAACACAUGCAAGUCGAACGCCCGUAGCAAUACGGGAGUGGCAGACGGGUGAGUAACGCGUGGGAACGUGCCCUUCGGUUCGGAAUAACUCAGGGAAACUUGAGCUAAUACCGGAUACGUCCGUAAGGAGAAAGAUUUAUCGCCGAAGGAUCGGCCCGCGUCGGAUUAGCUAGUUGGUGAGGUAACGGCCCACCAAGGCGACGAUCCGUAGCUGGUCUGAGAGGANGAUCAGCCACACUGGGACUGAGACACGGCCCAGACUCCUACGGGAGGCAGCAGUGGGGAAUAUUGGACAAUGGGCGAAAGCCUGAUCCAGCCAUGCCGCGUGAGUGAAGAAGGCCUUAGGGUUGUAAAGCUCUUUCAGCGGGAAGAUAAUGACGUACCCGCAGAGAAGCCCGGCUAACUUCGUGCCAGCCGCCGCAGUAAC